UAAGUAUAGAGAGGAUGUGA
rnacentral:miRNA from 1 species